rnacentral:rRNA from 1 species
CCUACGGGAGGCAGCAGUGAGGAAUAUUGGUCAAUGGGCGCGAGCCUGAACCAGCCAAGUAGCGUGAAGGAUGACUGCCCUACGGGUUGUAAACCUCUUUUAUCAAGGAAUAAAGUGAGGCACGUGUGCCUUUUUGUAUGUACUUUAUGAAUAAGGAUCGGCUAACUCCGUGCCAGCAGCCGCGGUAAUACGGAGGAUCCGAGCGUUAUCCGGAUUUAUUGGGUUUAAAGGGAGCGUAGAUGGGUGUGUAAGUCAGUGGUUAAAGUUUGCGGCUCAACCGUAAAAUUGCAAUUGAUACUGGCAGCCUUGAGUACAGGUGAGGUAGGCGGAAUUCGUGGUGUAGCGGUGAAAUGCUUAGAUAUCACGAAGAACUCCGAUUGCGAAGGCAGCCUACUAAACUGCCACUGACAUUGAUGCUCGAAAGUGUGGGUAUCAAACAGGAUUAGAUACCCUGGUAGUC